GAAAUGCGAUAAGUAAUGUGAGUUGCAGAAUUCAGUGAGUCAUCGAAUCGUUGAACGCACAUUGCGCCCGCCAGUAUUCUGGCGUGCAUGCCUGUUCGAGCGUCAUUUCAACCAUCAAGCCCCCGGGCUUGUGUUGGGGACCCUGCGGCUGCCCGCAGGCCCUGAAAUGCAGUGGCGGGCUCGCCGUCCACACCCAACGUAGUAGCAUUACACCUCGCUCAGGACGUGCGGCGUGCUCCGGCCGUUAAACGCGACCUUGACGCAUACCAAGGUUGACCUCGUAUCAGGUAGGAAGACCCGCUGAACUUAA
rnacentral:misc_RNA from 1 species